UUCCCGCCGGGCCGGCGCCGCUGGCCCGGCUGCGGUCUCUGCGCUGCCCUCGGGCUCCGUUCCUCCUCCCGCCCCGGGCUUCGGUCUCGCGGGGCAGGGUGGGGGCUGAUCGCGCAGGACUGGAAAAUUGCCGAAAGCAUCUUAAAGGCGGAGAUGUCAUGAAAAAUUGCCAAACAGGACGUGCCAGGUCACAAGGACUGGUGGACCCUGCACCUAAAGAUAACAUAGGUGCAAACUGAAACCUGUGCAAAAGCAGCUGAAGCGUCCUAUUUUGCAUCUGGCCUGAUUACCCAACUACAAGCCCCUUGUCCUUUAUAACUCCAUGAAAGCUCACGGCCCCAACCUUUUGGGGCUGGUGUAACUCUUUACACUUGGCUCCUUUCCUCUCUUGGAAAGUGACAAAAACUUUGCUCUCCAUAUUUUCUAUUCUUUGUGGCCCAUAUGGAGACCAUUAACUCCUCUCCACCUUCUGAGACUUGUGACCAGAGGAGCAGUGGUCAGCUUGUCCCAGGCUAACCCCCUGACCCUGCCUUGGGGCCUAGAGGAACCCUCCCUCUCACCUCCUCUCCGCGUCAUCCAUCCCUGCAGACAGCCUCCUUGUCACCCAUGUCCACAGUCAGCAAUCGAUUUCCUCGGCCUCCUCCAGACUUGGGACUGACGCCCGGGCCUUGGACCGGGCUCGCCUUCGCACCAUGGAAUUGGCCCAGCCUCGCGUAACUCCAUUGCAGGUCCUGAACACGUUACCUCCGGACCCCCAGCAAUCUCCUCUUGAGCACUCUUGCAUCGUGGUCGUAGGACAAACCACCACAGCUCAUGCCAACCUCAGGUACUCCCCUGUCCUCGCCUGAUCACAAUCGCUUCGUGGACGGCAGCAGUUACACCCUCAGUGGACCAGGGGAAGCGGGAUAUGCAGUAGUUACGGCCACUCGCACAGUUGAACGCUCUCUCUUACCACCCUACACCUCACCCCAGAAAGCUGAACUUGCCACACGUAUAAGGGCAGUGCAACUAGGAAAGGGCCUAAAAGUCAGCAUUCACACAGAUUCCAAAUAUGCCUAUCCCAGUCUGCAUUCUCGUGCCGC